rnacentral:rRNA from 1 species
GCUCCCUGAUGUUAGCGGCGGACGGGUGAGUAACACGUGGGUAACCUGCCUGUAAGACUGGGAUAACUCCGGGAAACCGGGGCUAAUACCGGAUGCUUGUUUGAACCGCAUGGUUCAAACAUAAAAGGUGGCUUCGGCUACCACUUACAGAUGGACCCGCGGCGCAUUAGCUAGUUGGUGAGGUAACGGCUCACCAAGGCAACGAUGCGUAGCCGACCUGAGAGGGUGAUCGGCCACACUGGGACUGAGACACGGCCCAGACUCCUACGGGAGGCAGCAGUAGGGAAUCUUCCGCAAUGGACGAAAGUCUGACGGAGCAACGCCGCGUGAGUGAUGAAGGUUUUCGGAUCGUAAAGCUCUGUUGUUAGGGAAGAACAAGUACCGUUCGAAUAGGGCGGUACCUUGACGGUACCUAACCAGAAAGCCACGGCUAACUACGUGCCAGCAGCCGCGGUAAUACGUAGGUGGCAAGCGUUGUCCGGAAUUAUUGGGCGUAAAGGGCUCGCAGGCGGUUCCUUAAGUCUGAUGUGAAAGCCCCCGGCUCAACCGGGGAGGGUCAUUGGAAACUGGGGAACUUGAGUGCAGAAGAGGAGAGUGGAAUUCCACGUGUAGCGGUGAAAUGCGUAGAGAUGUGGAGGAACACCAGUGGCGAAGGCGACUCUCUGGUCUGUAACUGACGCUGAGGAGCGAAAGCGUGGGGAGCGAACAGGAUUAGAUACCCUGGUAGUCCACGCCGUAAACGAUGAGUGCU